UACGGGGGGAGCAAGCGUUGUUCGGAUUUACUGGGCGUAAAGGGCGCGUAGGCGGCCAGCACAAGUCAGUUGUGAAAUCUCCGAGCUUAACUCGGAAAGGUCAACUGAUACUGUGCGGCUAGAGUGCGGAAGGGGCAACUAGAAUUCUUGGUGUAGCGGUGAAAUGCGUAGAUAUCAAGAGGAACACCUGCGGCGAAGGCGGGUUGCUGGGCCGACACUGACGCUGAGGCGCGAAAGCCAGGGGAGCGAACGGG
rnacentral:rRNA from 1 species